GGGUGCGAUCAUACCAGCACUAAUGCACCGGAUCCCAUUAGAACUCCGCAGUUAAGCGUGCUUGGGCGAGAGUAAUACUGGGAUGAGUGACCAACUGAGAAGACCUCUUAUUGCACCCC
rnacentral:rRNA from 1 species